rnacentral:rRNA from 1 species
UUGUGAGGUUAAGCGACUAAGCGUACACGGUGGAUGCCCUGGCAGUCAGAGGCGAUGAAGGACGUGCUAAUCUGCGAUAAGCGUCGGUGAGGUGAUAUGAACCGUUAUAACCGGCGAUUUCCGAAUGGGGAAACCCAGUGUGUUUCGACACACUAUCAUUAACUGAAUCCAUAGGUUAAUGAGGCGAACCGGGGGAACUGAAACAUCUAAGUACCCCGAGGAAAAGAAAUCAACCGAGAUUCCCCCAGUAGCGGCGAGCGAACGGGGAGGAGCCCAGAGCCUGAAUCAGUGUGUGUGUUAGUGGAAGCGUCUGGAAAGGCGCGCGAUACAGGGUGACAGCCCCGUACACAAAAAUGCACAUAUUGUGAGCUCGAUGAGUAGGGCGGGACACGUGGUAUCCUGUCUGAAUAUGGGGGGACCAUCCUCCAAGGCUAAAUACUCCUGACUGACCGAUAGUGAACCAGUACCGUGAGGGAAAGGCGAAAAGAACCCCGGCGAGGGGAGUGAAAAAGAACCUGAAACCGUGUACGUACAAGCAGUGGGAGCCUCUUAAUGGGGUGACUGCGUACCUUUUGUAUAAUGGGUCAGCGACUUAUAUUCUGUAGCAAGGUUAACCGAAUAGGGGAGCCGAAGGGAAACCGAGUCUUAACUGGGCGUUAAGUUGCAGGGUAUAGACCCGAAACCCGGUGAUCUAGCCAUGGGCAGGUUGAAGGUUGGGUAACACUAACUGGAGGACCGAACCGACUAAUGUUGAAAAAUUAGCGGAUGACUUGUGGCUGGGGGUGAAAGGCCAAUCAAACCGGGAGAUAGCUGGUUCUCCCCGAAAGCUAUUUAGGUAGCGCCUCGUGAAUUCAUCUCCGGGGGUAGAGCACUGUUUCGGCAAGGGGGUCAUCCCGACUUACCAACCCGAUGCAAACUGCGAAUACCGGAGAAUGUUAUCACGGGAGACACACGGCGGGUGCUAACGUCCGUCGUGAAGAGGGAAACAACCCAGACCGCCAGCUAAGGUCCCAAAGUCAUGGUUAAGUGGGAAACGAUGUGGGAAGGCCCAGACAGCCAGGAUGUUGGCUUAGAAGCAGCCAUCAUUUAAAGAAAGCGUAAUAGCUCACUGGUCGAGUCGGCCUGCGCGGAAGAUGUAACGGGGCUAAACCAUGCACCGAAGCUGCGGCAGCGACGCUUAUGCGUUGUUGGGUAGGGGAGCG